UGUGCAUAGAGGCAGUAGCAACCUCUUCGAGCUCACGCUUCGACACUUCUCGAUACCAGCUAAGUGUAAAAUUGUCAUAUUGCAUUCAGUGAUGCUGAGAUCAAAAUAAAGGGGCUGCCAAAGGGUGAAGUCAUCAGGAGGCAUGGAGCUGGAGCCCACAAUAACGAGAACAUCCCCAUGAUUGGGGGAAAUAACUGUUUGGGCUUGUUUUCAGAGCAAGGGGAAGACUGAUGGGAAGGCGAGCGAGAGGGAUGAUUACGACUGUCCUUGCCCGAUGACAAAUGGCACUGCAGUGUGCUCGAAAGCAACCGUUUUUUAUCUCCUGGCAUCAAAACACUUUUGGGAUAUCAUCACAGCCAUCAACGUCACCAUUGCUGUCACCACCCUUUCAUUGCCUGUGUUUCCUGCUGUACAUGAUGCUGAUUAUGCUCAAAUAUGAAAUGAGUGCUGCUUCCUAUUCCUAGUCCACAUGGCAAACACGGUGUUGGACAAAUGUUUUGUUUGAAUGUUUUACUGUUAUUUUUAUUGUCUCUUACAUAGUGAUUAUUCUUAUAUUAGUACAUUGUGUUUUGAUUUAGUUUAGACCACUUUUCAGCAUUUUUGUUAUUUUGUUGUAAGGAAUGUAUUACAGCAUAUUUUACAAGCUGAUUUUCAUUUAAUACCGAUUUUAUGCAUAGAGUUACCUCUGUAUCUGCUUUUAAAAUUGUUCCUACCUCUCCACAGUGAAUGAUUUGCUUCACUAACACUAUUAAUAGAUUGUGGUUUUGGCUCUUCUGUCUUACUAGGAAAACAAAAUCAUCAUCUUAUAGCCGGGGCCAGUGCCAUUCCAGCCCUGUUGAGCUCUCAGCUGGGCCACAUUUCUGCUCUGUUGCAGUUCCUGACACACCUGACCCAGAUAAUCCACAUUCAAGAUUGGGAACCUUUGUUACCUUGUACAUCAACAUAUAAGACUGUGCAAAGCAUCUUUUCCUUAAGGCCAAGGUGCUUGUGUAUGCUCUCCUAUGCCUUGAUUUAAAGAGAAGGCAAGGAGCCAGGGUGCUCCGGGCCUUGCUCCUGCAGUAAUGCACAGAGAUCUUGAAAAACUGUCCUCCAACCAAUAUCUGUCAGCUCGAUGAGCCAGUAGACAGAACCAAUUACAUUAAGAACAAGAAUAACACACGGUUUAGGAAAUAAAAACAUUACUAUAAAACGCACUGUAGGAAGGAAGCUUUAAAAAGCUCAUUUGAGGAGGAAUAAUUGCACAGGGUGUUAUUUAUGAAUCCUGGAGUGUCAUGUAAUGGAAUGCUUCCAUUGAUCUACUGCCCUCCACCCACCCACCUACACCACCACUUUAAUAUUUUGCAUUUAAAUUGAAAUAUUUAUCCAUUUAUAUGGCGUAAAUCAUACACCACCAUGUUGGGCAUCGUUUAUCUUUGCUGAGGUUCCUACUGCUUUCCUCCAUGCUUUUUUACUAAACUGCAAUGUUGAAAUUGAGUAAAUUUGAUAACAAACAUAGCAUCUCAGUGUGUGAAGAUGUUAUCUUUAUGCCUGUGCAGGGCCACGCUAAAUUAAUUGCCAUUUUAGAUAUGAUUAUUUUCAUUUCAGGACAGUAUAACUCUAAACCAUUCAGACCCUCAGUAGUGUCUUUGCAAACAGUUAAACAUUCAUAGAUGGAAUUUGGACAUAGUCAGUUUAGAAGUUGGAGAACUGAUAGAAGCAUAUGUAGACAAUCAGUAAUGACACCCAGUAUAGGAUAGUAUAGAUUGCUAGUUCAUAUACUGCUACAUUUACAAAAGUGCCAGAAUGAAUCAUGAAAGCCCCUGAAAAAAUUCUGUAUUAUUUUUAUAGCAAGGAAUGGAAUGCCAUUUUCUUCUCAAAGAUACAAAUACAUGCAAAAGUACCUAAAAGUCUAUAAAUGCUCAUGUUUCUAUUUUAGGAAGGCCACAUAUACCGAAUACUGAACAAUAACUAGGACUUAGGAGACUAUGGUGGUCUUCUGAAGGUUAAUAGAGCAGGUCUCAUGAUCAUGUUGUGUAACUCCCUGGGCUGUGGAGAUGAAAGCAAUGCUCCAGCUCCAUAGAACAUGUUGUAGUCCAAGGCCUCUAGCAAGUUCUCUUCCCCACAUGCGCUCAUUCCACUGCCUGGCAUUUCCACAUGAGGAGAUAGUCAGCUUUAAUCAUUUACCUGUCCUGCCUAUGUCAUUCUUUAAAUUAGACACACUGUGUUGCCACUUUGAAGUCCAAUUUAUGUUUCAUUUUUGUAUGUCUCCUCAUUGACCAUUUACUUAAAAAAUGCAAUAUGCAAAAAAUGGAUGUCCUCCCAAUGAGAUUCUGAUUGGGUUUGAGGAUAUGUAUUUGAAGUGGCUGAAAAUAUGGGUUUCCUGACCUGUGGAUGAUAUAGACAGCAUGCUGAAAUUCACAAACAAGCAGGAACAGUCAUACCAUUAUCACUUAACACUGCAGCAGUGUAUCCAUGGUUCCACAGCCAAAACCCGGAUGUGAAGCCAUGUGGAAAACCGUUCCACCUGGCUCAGUGUACCACUGGCCUCCCUUCCAGCUAGCCUUUCAAUCCUGCUACUUUGUAUGCUUUGAUGUUUCAAUCAUGUUCAACCAACAUAGCCAGUCAGAGGAGGAAAAAAAUGCAGAGCAUAUGUCUGACAACUUCCAAUUUCUUUUUUAAAAACAUGGGGCUAUUUAUAAAACUUCUGGCUGCUCUCCUUGGUGUAGGAGACAGAGCUUCCAUUUCUCUGAUGGAUCGGCUGUCAUAUUUCGACAGUGCAGUGCUUCUUUUAGUUUAUAGACGUCUCCGUGCUCCUGACGCCAGAGUGCGGGUCGUCGUUUUUCUCUCUUAUCGUCCGGCUGCUACUCCCUGCUCCCAGACAUAAACCCCAACAGUCAGCUAGAGAGGAAUAGCACUGCGUUGCAGCUCACCUUUUUAACUUUUCCCAUUUAACUUAGCUCUGUAAGGUUACAAUGUGCGCACGUAUGUGUGUGUGUGUGUGUGUGUGUGUGUGUGUGUGUGUGUGUGUGUGUGUGUGUGUGUGUAAUGUAGAGUGCUUGUCACUGUCUGCCCCACAUAAGAAUUAGAAUGUCCUUUAGGUUGGACUAAGCCAUGUGUUGAUUCUACAUGUCCAUCAUCUGUGGGUAUGUGUUAAAUUUUUAUCUGUGUACAUGUAGGUUUUUUUAAGGAGUGUGUAUGUGUGUGUGUGUGUGUGUGUGUGUGUGUGUGUGUGUAUGUGUGUCUAUAAGACGGUGUGAGACCUAGUGGACAUUGUCUUCCUGGUAAAUCUGGUCCCUCCAGCAGUCCUGAAUGUGAGUGCAGGCUUAUCAGCUCCGUCCAGAGUCUCCCAGACUCCCAGCCACCUCCAUUGCCGGAGAGCAAAAUAAAUUGCACCCAUGCAGUUAAUAAGA